rnacentral:misc_RNA from 1 species
GCAUAAACCACCCAUCAGUUGGGAACAGCUCUCAGAAGCAUUAGUGGUUCGCAAUGGGAAUGAUUCAAUUAUGAACCCUUUUGAGAGGUUGGCGGCCAUUAAACAAGCGGGCUCCAUAUACAAAUUCAUUAACCUGUUUGUCGCCUCUACCAUGGAUUUAAAUCGCAGUGGCUAAUAUGAGCAGUGUUGAUGUGUUAAGAAUGAUGGACCGAAAUCCACAACCUUUAAGAAUCUACCAUAGAAAGAAUUAUAGAUAGAAGAAUGACUCUAGAAGAGGACAGCUGGAAGGG